AUGUGAUCGUCUCUCGCAUAUCAAUAAGCGGAGGAAAAGAAACUAACAAGGAUUCCCCUAGUAACGGCGAGUGAAGCGGGAAGAGCUCAAAUUUGAAAUCUUAAAGGGUUUCCCUUUACGAAUUGUAGUUUAAAGAAGUGUUUUCUGUCGAGGUUUUGGUAAAAGUUCUUUGGAAUAGGACAUCAUAGAGGGUGAGAAUCCCGUAUUUGACCUUUACUUUCAACUUUGUGAUACACUUUCAAAGAGUCGGAUUGUUUGGGAAUGCAGUCCAAAAUAGGUGGUAAAUUUCAUCUAAAGCUAAAUAUUGGCGAGAGACCGAUAGCGAACAAGUACCGUGAGGGAAAGAUGAAAAGAACUUUGAAAAGAGAGUUAAACAGUACGUGAAAUUGUCAAAAGGGAAGCGUUUGACACCAGUGUUGUUUUUCUGAAAAUCAAUUAAAGAACUGUUUAUGCUAAGCUGUUUAGACUUUAUCAGCUAUCUGUUAGUUUUGAGCUUUUCUUUAAUGCACUUUUCAGUUAACAAGUCAACAUCAAUUUCUUUUGCUGUAAAAAAGCUUGAGGAAGGUGGCUUGAGAUUCGUCUUAAGUGUUUAUAGCCUCUUGCCUAUGCAGUCGGAGAGAUUGAGGUCUGCAGCGUAGACCCUUCGGGGCUAAAUGCAUUUGUGCUAAGUUAUAGCAUUUUAUAGACAACUUGUUGACUAUGAUUUGUCUUGUAGCUUACUCGCUUAUGUUAUUUUACCUACGCUUAGGAUGUUGACGAGACUGUCGAUCUC
rnacentral:rRNA from 1 species